UAAAAUCUGAAUAUGGAGUUUCUUCCCUCUCAUUCUUAAACUGAGGAAAGAUGCAAAAGAAGUGCUUAAGAAUUGUAUCACUGAAAUUAAUGAUCUCUGAAGCAAGAGAAGAAUAUAUUCACUUCAGAUAUUUAAAUAUUUGAUAACUAUAUGAUUAUUUAGAGGAUGAAUAAUUUGUUUAAAUCAGUGAUUAAAUCAUCACUAUCAGUAUUCAAGAACAGAUUAUCUAAUUAAGCAAUUGGUUGAAAAGAUAAUCUUGCAGUUAAGUGGAUGUAUAGAUUAGAGAAUUUGAGGUCAUCUCCAACUCCUGAUAGGGUUAUGUAAUUUUGAAGAAUCCACAUGCAAUUAAUUUAUUAUUAGGUUUCCAAUUUGAUAAAGUAUAAUACUUUAGGCUGAAGAGGACAGGUCUUUAACCAACAAAAAUUUGUAAACAUUAGGGGAAAGUGAUUUUCUUGCCUGCUUUUCACACAGGGUAAAUAAUGAUAAAGCUUUCAAUUGGAUCUUAAAAUACUAAUUAUGUAAGAUAUUUAGAAAAAAAUUGUUAAGAGUUGUUUUUACUUCAGAGAGCGAGUCUGGCAGUGAAAGUGAGAAGGAAGAUAAGGAGGAAGGCAGCAGUGAUGAGAGUAGUGGGAGUUCCUCUUCCAGUGAAGAAUCAAGUGAUAGUGAAUCAGACAGCAAAGAAAGUACUGUAAAGAAAAUAUCUAGAGCUGCUGCUAAAAGUGAUUCAGAGGACAUUAAAAAGAAAGCAAAGAGGAUCUCCAGAAAGAGAAGCCCAUCAAAUUCCUCUGGUACAGAGUCUGCUUCAUCAGAAGAAAAUUCUUCAGACUCCGACGCAGAAUCAGACUCUAAAAGUGACUCUGAGUCUGGAAAAUCUAGAAAUGCUACCUCUAGUAAGAAAGAAGAAAAAACAGUACAAGAUAGAAAAGCUACAAAUAAACAAGACGUGUUUCUCUUAGAUUUAGAUGAUUUCUGUCCUGUGACAACUCCUGUGGCAGUUCCUACAGCAGCUGUUUUGUCCCCAAGUUUAACAGCAGACCUAGAGGGAUUAAGUCUGUCGAGUUCCUCAGUCAUUGAUGUAAGUAGCCUUUAA
rnacentral:lncRNA from 1 species